AACGCGAAGAACCUUACCAGGAUUCGACAUGCCCUCUAUGGAAUGCCGAAAAGCAUUCCUUCACUUCGGGUGGGAGGAGCACAGGUGCUGCAUGGCUGUCGUCAGCUCGUGUCGUGAGAUGUUGGGUUAAGUCCCGCAACGAGCGCAACCCUCGUCUCCUGUUGCCAUCAGGUCAAGCUGGGCACUCUGGAGAAACUGCCGGUGAUAAGCCGGAGGAAGGUGGGGAUGACGUCAAGUCCUCAUGGCCCUUACAUCCUGGGCUACACACGUGUUACAAUGGCGGUGACAAUGGGUCGCGAUCGCGCAAGCGCUAGCCAAUCCCAAAAAGCCGCCUCAGUUCGGAUUGUACUCUGCAACUCGAGUACAUGAAGCUGGAAUCGCUAGUAAUCGCGGAUCAGCACGCCGCGGUGAAUACGUUCCCGGGCCUUGUACACACCGACUGUAC
rnacentral:rRNA from 1 species